rnacentral:misc_RNA from 1 species
GAUGAAGAACGCAGCGAAAUGCGAUAAGUAAUGUGAAUUGCAGAAUUCAGUGAAUCAUCGAAUCUUUGAACGCACAUUGCGCCCGCUAGUAUUCUAGCGGGCAUGCCUGUUCGAGCGUCAUUUCAACCCUCAGGCCCAGCCUGGCGUUGGGGAUCGGCGCGGCCCCUCCGGGGGCUGCCGGCCCCGAAAACUAGUGGCGGUCUCGCUGUAGUCCUCCUCUGCGCAGUAGUGAUAUUCCGCAUCGGAGAGCGAUGAGCCCCUGCCGUUAAACCCCCAACUUUCCAAGGUUGACCUCAGAUCAGGUAGGAAUACCCGCUGAACUUAAGCAUAUCAAUAAGCGGAGGA